CAAUGACCCAAUCAGAGCUAAGAAGCAAUCCUACAUAGAUACCACAGUGACCACAGGAACGGGACCUUAGGUCCUUACAUAUCCAGUUCCAUAGCAGACAAGCUUGGCCUUUAACCAAAACACUUCUAUUUCUCAAGAACCAGAGCUUCGGGAAGUGCUGUCUCUGGUUUAGCGUAGGCUUCAGCAAUCGAAGAUGAGCUUCCAGAUCUAUAAAUCUGCUCUAUCUAGGACUCUGAGGGCACUCAGUUCUGCUUCGAAGAGCUCUACUGUUUUUGCCGAGGGGCGAGCUGUAGCAGCAGCAGCAGCAACUUCAUUCAGAGUAAAGUUGCCUUCUUCUGCUUCAUUUUACGGGAGAGUGAAUUCCCAUAAUGCAUCUAGAGGAUGGGUUUCAGCAGCCCUAGCCCUUCCUGCAGCAGGUUUGGUUAACCUUUUUUUUUUCCUGGCAUUUUCAGCUUGUGUUUCUUACAACAUGCAUGAGCAACUGAGUAGACUAAUAAAAUGUUGUUCAGCAUUGUGCUGUUUCUUUUGUUUUUUUGACUUUUUGUAGGAUGUCCUUGUACUUAUUAAGUUGUUAUGGAAAUUGGAAAGGAAUGUAUCUUGAUGUAAUAA